rnacentral:rRNA from 1 species
CAGCAGCCGCGGUAAUACGUAGGGUGCAAGCGUUGUCCGGAUUUAUUGGGCGUAAAGAGCUCGUAGGCGGUUUGUCGCGUCGAAUGUGAAAGCCCGGGGCUUAACCCCGGGUCUGCAUUCGAUACGGGCAGACUAGAGUUCGGUAGGGGAGACUGGAAUUCCUGGUGUAGCGGUGAAAUGCGCAGAUAUCAGGAGGAACACCGGUGGCGAAGGCGGCUGACUGGACAAGUAUUGACGCUGAGGUGCGAAAGCGUGGGGAGCAAACGGGAUUAGAUACCCCAGUAGUCCCUGUCUCUUAUAA